rnacentral:lncRNA from 1 species
GAUACUAAGAAGUUCUUUCUAAUUCCUAGCUGGUAUAUGUCAACUUUAAAAAUCAUGUUCUUGGCCGGGCACGAUGGCUCAUGCCUGUAAUCCCAGCACUUUGGGAGGCCGAGGCAGGCAGAUCACCUGAGGUCGGGGGUUCGAGACCAGCCUGACCAACAUGAAGAAACCCCAUCUCUACUAAAAAUACAAAAAAAUUAACCAGGCGUGGUGGCACAUGCCUGUAAUCCCAGCUACUCAGGAUGCUGAGGCAGGAUAAUCGCUUGAUCCCGGGAGGCGGAGGUUGCAGUGAGCCGAGAUCGCGCCAUUGCACUCCAGCCUGGGCAACAAGAGCAAAACUCCACCUCAAAAAAGAAAAAAGAGGGGCAUCCUACAAAAUACCUGACCAGUACUCCUUAAAACUGUCACAGUCAUCAAGAACAAGGAAAGUCUGAGAAAGUGUCACCGCCAAGAAGAGAUAGGAGAAUUAUUUGUAACGUAGUAUCCUGGAUGGGAUCCUGGAAAGAAAAAGGACACCAGGGUCAUGAACUAGAACCAAGCCAACUUGGCCUUUAUUGGAACAGUGAACUUGGGGCUCCAGCUCUUGAGCCAGCAAGCAAAUGACCUGUUGACUUAAGCAAGUUUCAACUUUCACCCUCAUCUCAGAGCUCUGGUCUUUCAUCUCUGAAGAAGGCGGUGGGAAACAAAUGUUAUUUCUCCUCUUCAUACUCCUUUUCUCAUUUAUUCUGCAGAACAUUUCAAAGCAACACCCAGGAACCUUCAGAAUGGUAAAAAAACAUUGAUGCUUAGCUAUGAGGCAUGAGGCAGGAGGAGUAAUACAAAGUGGACCUUUGCCCCAGGAUGAUGACUGAGGUAUGACUAGAAGGUUCUUCAUCCUCUCAAAGAGCAAACUUUUGUGGCAGUAACACAACCAGGCAAGAUGAGAGAAGCAGAUCAAAGAAACUAAAAACAGAGUAAGUGGUUAAAUUAUUUAUGAUGAUGCUGCAGCUGUAUUGAUCAGAGGCAGAUUUCUCUCUUAACCCUACUUUCCUUGUACCUAUAGAAGUUGUCAUCGCCCAAAGAAUUUUUGACCUAAUGUGAAAGUGUGGGGGUUGAUGGAGAGAGAAGUGGGGGGAGGGAGUGGGUGAAUAGCUAGUCAGGACCUUAGUUAAGAGAACACUGGUUAUCCAAUAUGGUUCUACCAUAUCUAAUGACAAACUAACUGAUGAUCUCCACAUAUCUCAUUUCCUAGGAAAGAAAUGGUGUAUCAUUUCACUGUGUACCCUGCAGGGAAAUAAAGGUUCUGCCCUACCUACCAAGAUCAUAUUGCCGUAGCAUCAAAAAGCCCCAUACAAAAUAAAAGCUUUCAAAACACAGCAUGGUAUUAAAAGGACAUCUGUAUUUUAAAAGUCUCGUUUAUUUUGUUUACUGCUGAAUCUCCAUUGCCAGACACUGCCAGGCACACAGUAGGUGGUGACUUAUAUUUAAUGGACUAUUUAAUGAAUGAAUAAUAUUGGCACAUUGCGAUUCCGUAGAUCUAGUUGAGAUUCAGGCACAGAGGGACAUGAAGGCCAUGUGCUCAACAGCAUGUCUUAGGAGGCCACUGGCUCCUGUGAUAGCCUGGGCUGGCCAUCCUAGGCUUGUUCCUGGGCAAAGUCUUGCUUGCUAGAGAAAUAUCAUCCCCUGAGAAUGAGGAUAGCUUUAGGAUAUGUGCACACUGUUCUAAUUCUACCAUUUGAGCAACUCUAAGACAAGGAGUGAUCCUUUGUUGUGACACAAACAAUCCCAAGGAAUUUUGUUGCUCUCUUUAGGCCAAAGAUUGUGUGUAAUAAAUUUCUGGAGAAAACACACUGUUAAGGCUGGGCAUGGAGGCUCAUGCCUGUGAUCCCAGCACUUUGGGAGGCCAAGGCUGGAGGAUUGCUUGAGCCCAGGAGUUCAAGACCAGCCUAAGCAAUAUAGUGAGACCCCCUAUGUCUACAAAAAAAAAAAAAAAAAAAAAAAGAAAGAAAAACUAGCUGGAUGUAGUGGCAUGCACCUGUAGUCCCAGCUACUCAGGAAGCUGAGGUGGGAGGAUGGCUUGAGCCCAGGAAGUGGAGGUUGCAGUAAGCUGUUAUUGCACCACCACACUCAACCUGGGCAAUAGAGCAAGACCCUGUCACCAAAAAAAAAAAAAAAAAAAAAAAAAGAGAGAGAGAGAGAGAGAGAGAAAUAAUCAACUUUACCUGACAUUUGUAGAAUACUUCAUCCAAUAACCAGGAGAAUAUACACUCUUCUUAAGCACACAUGGAAUAUCAUCCAAAAUAGGUGAUAUUCUAGGCUAUGGGUUAGUAAAUUACAGGCCAGGGGGCAGCUGCCUAGUUUUUUUUAAACCAUUUUUAAGUGUUCAACUGAGUAACAUUAAUUAUAUUCAAAACGUUGUACAAUCAUUACCACUAUCUAUACCCAAAACUUUUUCGUCACUCCCAAUGUAAACUCUAUCCAUUAAACAAUCCAUUCCAGACUCUCUCCAGCCCCUCUACUUUCUGUCUCUAUGAGUUUGUCUAUUCUAGAUAUUUCAUAUAAGUGAAACUAUAUAAUAUUUAUCCUUUUAUUUCUGGCUUAUUUCACUUAGCAUAAUGUUUUCAAUGUUCAUCCAUAUUGUAGCAAAUGUUAAAAGUUCAUUACAUGUUAUGGCUGAAAAAAUUCCAUUAUAUGUAUAUAUAUUUUGUUUAUCCAUCUAUUGACAGAUACUUGAGUUGUUUCUACCUUUUGGUUAUUGUGAAAAAUGUAGCAAUGAGCCCUGGUGUACCAGUAUCUGUUUGAGUCCCUGUUAUCAAGUCGUUUGGGUAUAUAACUAGGAGUGGAAUUGCUGAGUCAUAUGGUAAUUCUAAGUUCUAAGAAUUCUAAGAGCAUUCCAAUUUCUCCACUUUGUCAUUAAUACUUGUUAUUCUCUCUGUUUUUGAUUCUAGCCAUUCUAGUGAGUAUGAGGUAGUAUCUUAUUGUGGUUUUGAUUUGCAUUUUCCUAAUGACUAAUAACGUCAAGCAUCUUUUCAUGUGCUUAUUCAGCUGCCUAUUUUCAUAAAUAAAUGUUUAUUGAAACAUGUCCACAUUCAUUUGUGUACCUAUUUGUGGACCUAUUGUCAAUGGUCCCUUUCAUCCUGUAACAGCAGAGUUGAGCAGUGAUAUAGUUUGGAUAUAUGUCCCCUCCAAAUUUACUGUUA